AACGAACGCUGGCGGCGUGCUUAACACAUGCAAGUCGAACGGAAGGGCCCUGCUUUUGUGGGGUGCUCGAGUGGCUAACGGGUGAGUAACACGUGAGUAACCUGCCCUUGAUUUUGGUAUAACUUCAGGAAACUGGGGCUACUACCGGAUAGGAGCUCCUGCUGCAUGGUGGGGGUUGGAAAGUUUCGGCGGUUGGGGAUGGACUCGCGGCUUAUCAGCUUGUUGGUGGGGUAGUGGCUUACCAAGGCAUUGAAGGGUAGCCGGCCUGAGAGGGUGAACGGAAACAUGGCGACUGAGAUACGGACAAGAAGGCUACGGGGGAAAGCAGUGGGGAAGAUUGCACAAUGGGCGGAAGUCUGAUGCGGGAACGCAGCGUGAGGGAUGACGGUUUAAGGGUUGAAAACAGCAUUAGCCUGAGACGAAGCGUGAGUGACGGUAAUGGGUAAAGAAGCACCGGCUAACUACGUG
rnacentral:rRNA from 1 species